GAGUUUUCUGUAGCUGAUUUUAAGGAAGCAAUUUAGAGAUUUGGAGCUCAAGAAAGAUUUGACCUGCCAUUACUGGUUUGAAAGAAGAGGACACAUGGCAAGAAAGCAAUAGAAAAUUGAUACAAGAGGGAUCUCAUCAGAUGAACUUGAUGCUCCAUCCCAUGAACUGCCUCCAAAACAGAAUUACUCAUAGCGUUUGCUGAUCCUGCUUCUCAGUCAGGAAGAGCAUCUAUGCUUGGGGAGCCAGAACACCUACACGUGCCACCGAGCCAGGCCCCAAGCUCCACGAGGAUAGAAGCUC